rnacentral:rRNA from 1 species
UACGAAGGGGGCUAGCGUUGUUCGGAAUUACUGGGCGUAAAGCGCGUGUAGGCGGGUCUUUAAGUCAGGGGUGAAAUGCCAGGGCUCAACCUUGGAACUGCCUUUGAUACUGGAGACCUUGAGUCCGGGAGAGGUGAGUGGAAUUGCGAGUGUAGAGGUGAAAUUCGUAGAUAUUCGCAAGAACACCAGUGGCGAAGGCGGCUCACUGGCUCGUAACUGACGCUCAGGC